UAGGGAAUCUUCGGCAAUUGACGAAAGUCUGACCGAGCAACGCCGCGUGAGUGAAUAAGGUUUUCGGAUCGUAAAACUCUGUUGUUAGAGAAGAACAAGGACGUUAGUAACUGAACGUCCCCUGACGGUAUCUAACCAGAAAGCCACGGCUAACUACGUGCCAGCAGCCGCGGUAAUACGUAGGUGGCAAGCGUUGUCCGGAUUUAUUGGGCGUAAAGCGAGCGCAGGCGGUUUCUUAAGUCUGAUGUGAAAGCCCCCGGCUCAACCGGGGAGGGUCAUUGGAAACUGGGAGACUUGAGUGCAGAAGAGGAGAGUGGAAUUCCAUGUGUAGCGGUGAAAUGCGUAGAUAUAUGGAGGAACACCAGAGGCGAAGGCGGCUCUCUGGUCUGUAACUGACGCUGAGGCUCGAAAGCGUGGGGAGCAAACAGG
rnacentral:rRNA from 1 species